rnacentral:rRNA from 1 species
UGAGAGGGUGACCGGCCACACUGGGACUGAGACACGGCCCAGACUCCUACGGGAGGCAGCAGUGGGGAAUAUUGCACAAUGGGCGAAAGCCUGAUGCAGCGACGCCGCGUGAGGGAUGACGGCCUUCGGGUUGUAAACCUCUUUCAGUAGGGAAGAAGCGAAAGUGACGGUACCUGCAGAAGAAGCACCGGCUAACUACGUGCCAGCAGCCGCGGUAAUACGUAGGGUGCGAGCGUUAUCCGGAAUUAUUGGGCGUAAAGAGCUCGUAGGCGGUUUGUCGCGUCUGCCGUGAAAGUCCGGGGCUUAACUCCGGAUCUGCGGUGGGUACGGGCAGACUAGAGUGCAGUAGGGGAGACUGGAAUUCCUGGUGUAGCGGUGGAAUGCGCAGAUAUCAGGAGGAACACCGAUGGCGAAGGCAGGUCUCUGGGCUGUAACUGACGCUGAGGAGCGAAAGCAUGGGGAGCGAACAGGAUUAGAUACCCUGGUAGUCCAUGCCGUAAACGUUGGGCACUAGGUGUGGGGGCCAUUCCACGGUUUCCGCGCCGCAGCUAACGCAUUAAGUGCCCCGCCUGGGGAGUACGGCCGCAAGGCUAAAACUCAAAGGAAUUGACGGGGGCCCGCACAAGCGGCGGAGCAUGCGGAUUAAUUCGAUGCAACGCGAAGAACCUUACCAAGGCUUGACAUGUUCCCGAUCGCCGUAGAGAUACGGUUUCCCCUU